GACGAACGCUGGCGGCGUGCUUAACACAUGCAAGUCGAACGGCAAGGCCCUGCUUUUGUGGGGUGCUCGAGUGGCGAACGGGUGAGUAACACGUGAGUAACCUGCCCUUGACUUUGGGAUAACUUCAGGAAACUGGGGUUAAUACCCGAUCGGAGCUCCUGCUGCAUGGUGGGGGUUGGAAAGUUUCGGCGGUUGGGGUUGGACUCGCGGCUUAUCCGCUUGUUGGUGGGGUAGUGGCUUACCAAGGCUUUGAAGGGUAGCCGGCCUGAGAAGGUGACCGGCCACAUGGGGACUGAGAGACGGCCCAGACGCCAACGGUAGGCAGCAGUGGGGAAUAUUGCACAAUGAGCGGAAGCGUGAUGCAGCAGCGCCGCGUGCGGGAAGACGGCCUUCGGGUUGAAAACCGCUUGCGCCUGUGACGAAGCGUGAGUGACGGUAAUGGAUAAAGAAGCACCGGCUAACUACGUG
rnacentral:rRNA from 1 species